rnacentral:lncRNA from 1 species
AUCUCCUUGUGUAAACAUGCCUGGGUGGAGGAUUGAACCUGUGUUUGUGAACACCCCCCUUGCUGCAGAUCAAAAAGCUGAUUUGAUGAUGCCUCUGUGACACCAGGAUUUGUAUUUUAAAUGGAAAUUUCUUGCCAUGUGAUGACAAUCACAGCAGAGACAGAAAAGGGUUCCCUGGUUCUGGGCUCUGUGGUUCCCAAGCUCCACAAAUAGGCAGUAAAUUAUUACAGUCACACUGAAGUGUGACCUUAAUAGCCCUAAAUGCUUCCAGUGUGUAUAACGAUGUGAUAGGAUCGUCAUGUGGGUUUUGCUAGUGCAGUGCCACAGGGAAGGAAAUGAAGUCAGCCAGAGGUGUCUGAAGAGUCCAAACCUUGUCAGACUCACAGAUGGUAACUACAGAGUGAUGAGGGGAAGCCUGAAUCUUUCUUCUGUCUGUACUUAGCACCUCUGUAAAAUCACCUGAGAGGUAUACAUGAGGUAUUCCUUGCUGUGGGGCUGAUAGAAGGUGCACUGACUAAAAGCGAAGACAUGGCCGUGAUCUUUGUAGAUGCCCACAGCCUCAGUCCAGGAGAUUCUUCAGAAAAGUUUACAAGAGCCAUGAAUUGUGCUCUUUCUUACAGGAAGUGCACUUUGCCUCAGAAAGUUCUUUCUUUUCUUACCUCAGCAGUGUGUUUUCAGCCUAUCUGCUGAGCACCCAGAUGUGCCAGGCUGCAAUCCAUGGAUGGCAAAACCUCAUAGUUCCACAGUUUUUGGUACUUGAUCCUUGAUUUUUGUCUUUUCUACAGAAAAACUUAAUAGACUAUGGACCUGGCAUGUUUAAAUCUCUGAUCUGGCCUGGUUACAACUGGGAUCAUUCACAUCUCUAUCCUGCAUGGAGGGACUGCUGCAAAAAUUCAGAGAUAAGUAACCAGACAACCCAGCAGCUCAGAUGUGAGGGCCUGAGCUCUUGGUCAGGAGCCGUGUGUGGCAGAGGAGGAAAAACGUGCAGCUCAUUCAUGGGGAUGCUGCGUGGAGCUGCCCUGGAAGAGCCUGUGGGUGUUUGCUGAAUGCUUCGUAAUUAAGCUGAUUCUGGGCAUCCUGAUUAUAAUUUCAGGGAGAUGUGGAACAUCCUGCAAAUACUUGCAUAAACAUCUGAUUCCUAGGACACACGCGAGCAGGGUCUGUAUGGGUGUAUGGGAGGGAAGGGGAAGCAGCCUGACUAGUGAGUGUUUUGAGAGCAAGAAUAAAUAGGUGCUGUUGCAUCUGUGACA